rnacentral:rRNA from 1 species
GUCCAGGCCAACAUCGGUUCUGAGGGUCGGUCAAAGGCUCUGGGAAUGUAUCUACCUACGGGUAGACUUAUAGACCAGGGUGUCAUGCGGCCUCUCGGGACCGAGGAACGCGCUUCGGCUCGGAUGUUGGCGUAAUGGUUGUCAGCGA